CAGGCCUAACACAUGCAAGUCGAGCGGAUGACGGGAGCUUGCUCCUUGAUUCAGCGGCGGACGGGUGAGUAAUGCCUAGGAAUCUGCCUGGUAGUGGGGGACAACGUUUCGAAAGGAACGCUAAUACCGCAUACGUCCUACGGGAGAAAGCAGGGGACCUUCGGGCCUUGCGCUAUCAGAUGAGCCUAGGUCGGAUUAGCUAGUUGGUGAGGUAAUGGCUCACCAAGGCGACGAUCCGUAACUGGUCUGAGAGGAUGAUCAGUCACACUGGAACUGAGACACGGUCCAGACUCCUACGGGAGGCAGCAGUGGGGAAUAUUGGACAAUGGGCGAAAGCCUGAUCCAGCCAUGCCGCGUGUGUGAAGAAGGUCUUCGGAUUGUAAAGCACUUUAAGUUGGGAGGAAGGGUUGUACGCUAAUACCGUGCAAUUUUGACGUUACCGACAGAAUAAGCACCGGCUAACUCUGUGCCAGCAGCCGCGGUAAU
rnacentral:rRNA from 1 species